GACGAACGCUGGCGGCGUGCCUAAUACAUGCAAGUAGAACGCACAGUUUAUACCGUAGCUUGCUACACCAUAGACUGUGAGUUGCGAACGGGUGAGUAACGCGUAGGUAACCUGCCUGGUAGCGGGGGAUAACUAUUGGAAACGAUAGCUAAUACCGCAUAAUAUUAAUUAUUGCAUGAUAAUUAAUUGAAAGGUGCAAUUGCACCACUACCAGAUGGACCUGCGUUGUAUUAGCUAGUAGGUGAGGUAACGGCUCACCUAGGCGACGAUACAUAGCCGACCUGAGAGGGUGAUCGGCCACACUGGGACUGAGACACGGCCCAGACUCCUACGGGAGGCAGCAGUAGGGAAUCUUCGGCAAUAGACGAAAGUCUGACCGAGCAACGCCGCGUGAGUGAAGAAGGUUUUCGGAUCGUAAAGCUCUGCUGUAAGAGAAGAACGGGUGUGAGAGUGGAAAGUUCACACUGUGACGGUAUCUUACCAGAAAGGGACGGCUAACUACGUG
rnacentral:rRNA from 1 species